GACGAACCGUCCUAACGUUGUUCGGAAUCACUGGGCUUAAAGGGCGCGUAGGCGGGCGAUCAAGUCCAGGGUGAAAUCUUUCGGCUUAACCGGAAAAUAGCCUUGGAUACUGGUGGUCUCGAGGGAGGCAGGGGCCGUUGGAACUUCCGGUGGAGCGGUGAAAUGCGUUGAUAUCGGAAGGAACGCCGGUGGCGAAAGCGAACGGCUGGACCUCUUCUGACGCUGAGGCGCGAAAGCCAGGGGAGCAAACGGG
rnacentral:rRNA from 1 species